UGGAGUUCAGACUUGUGCUGUUCCAGUUUGGCUUCUACCUCAUGCCCAUUUGUCAUUCUACCAUUAUCCCCAAGCUCCUCAUUAACCUAAUUAAAGACUGAGGUAAAGUAUUUGUUUAGAUAUUGGGUCAUGCCUAGAUUAUCCUUAACCUCCACUCCAUCCUCAGUGUUCAGCAGUCCCACUUCUUCUUUCUUUGUUUUCUUCUUAUUUAUAUGGCUAUAGAACCUCUUACUAUUGGUUUUAAUUCCCUUUGCAAGGUCCAACUCUUCAUGGCUUUUGGACUUUGUCACUUUAUCCCUAC